ACCAAAAGGUAUGUCAUCUAACUAGUCUUUGUAGUAUAGUUACGUCAUAGUAUGCUAGUUAGGAUUAAAGCCUUGGAAAGUUCUUAUUCGCUUGUAUAAUAGAGAAAACAUAGAUCCAAGGUUUAUAGGGUUGCAUGUACACCAUAGGAGUGUUAGAAUGCUCAAAACCCAAUCCUAAUAACAUUACUAUAUUAAAACGUAAGCUAAACUAAAGAUAGGUUAGGCGUAGCUCACUUACAACGAGUUUUCUCGAAAACCGGGCUUCGUUGGAGCAGCGUUCCCGAGUCGAAAGACCCCUUUUCUCGGGACUCCGGGAGCCUCGGGGCUUCCUUCGGGUGCUAGGGGGUUUUCCUAGACUUUAGGGGGCUUAAGGAGGCUUAGAGAGAGAUUCUAGAGAGAGAAAGAGAAGUUGGAAGGUGUGAGAAAUGAGGAUGCCCCGACACCCUUUUUAUAGGCUGGAAAUCACCAAAACUCAUCGAGUUUACCUCAAACUCGUCGAGUUUUAUGGCCAGGUGUCACCAUUUGGUGGCUAGCCUUGGGGAGGAAGCAACGGCCAAGAUUGCGCCACAUCACUCGAUUUCGCACAGCAGCCUCCCGACUUAGAAAAAUCAUAACUCUUGCAUACGAGCUCCGUUUUUGACGUUCUUUUUUUCACACGUAGGUAAAAACAACAUCUACAACUUUCAUUUAGACUCCGUCGGCUAAUUCUUGACCGAUCUUAAAUUUAACAAUAGGAGGAGGUUAGACUACUAAAUGACCGCGAAGAAUUCGUAACUCCUUCAUACGGACUCCAUUUUUGUCUGUCUUUUUACCUUUGAGUUCCUAUUAAUGAGAUCUUCAACUCUCAUUUAGGUCGCGUAAGCCAAAAACCGCUCGAACUAAAAUUCGAAUUUCGGGCUGUACACUGCUAAUCCGAAACUUCGAAAAAUCAUAACUUCUUCAUACGAAGUCAGAUUUGGGAGUUCUUUUUAUUGAUGUUCUUAGUUUAACAUACUCUAUGAUUUUCGUUUAUAUCGUUAAGGCUAAAACUCGCUCUAUCGUAAAUUCACUAUUUACGCUUCCCGGUGCCGUGCCGGUUUUGCCAUAAAACUUCGACGGACCAUAACUUCUUCGUUAUAACUCGGAUUUCGGCGUUCUAUAUAUGUACGGAAACCUUGAGAUAUAUUCUACAACUUUAUGUAGAGAUAUCGGGCUUAUAUCACACUUUAAUUUUGACGUUUAUUUUUAUUCUUUAUUAAUUAUACAUUUAUAAUUAAAUUAUAAGCACAUAAAUACACAUAAUUCACAUAAUACUCAAUAUUUCAUCUUUAUUACUUCAAAAAGAGAUACAAUAGUUGACCUAGACUAUUACAUUGACAAAUAUGCUUAGCCCUGAAACCCGGGCGUUACGAUUCUCUCCACCUUAGGAUGAUUCCGUCCCAGAAUCAUGCAUCAGCAAACAGAUGUGGAUAACGACUCAUCUUGUCAUCCUCUGUUUCCCAAGUGAGAUUCAGCCCAUUCGCAUGUUUCCAUCGAACUAGCACUAAGUCGACCAUCUUGGGUCGUAACUUCUUAGUCUUACGGUCAACAAUUGCCUCGGGCUCUUCGAUCAGCCUCUUAUUCUAAUCCAUACUUAACUUUGAGAUUGGAAUUAUAUCGGGAACAUCUCUCAUGAAUUUCCUCAAAUAACACACAUGGAAGGUGUUAUGAAUACCAUUGAGUUCUUCGGGCAAUUCCAACUUGUAAGCUUGGUUCCCUAUCUUCUGAAGAACUUUGAACGGUCCAAUAAACCUUGGACUCAACUUCCCUCGUUUUUCGAAUCUUAUAAGUCCCUUCCACGGUGAGACUUUAAGCAAAAUGGAAUCCCCAACUUCAAAAGUCAUUGGUCGUCUUUUCUUGUCAACAUAGCUCUUCUGUCGAUCCUGAGCUACUAACAUUCUUUCCCUAAUCACCUUUAGUUUCUCAGCAGUCUCAUGGACUAUCUCGGGCCCCAUAAACUGCUUCUCUCCGGCUUCGAGCCAACAAGACGGCAUACGACACUUAUGUCCGUACAAAGCUUGAUAAGGCGCCAUCUUGAUGCUCGAGUGAAAACUAUUGUUGUAGGAAAAUUCUACCAGAGGUAAGUGCUCGUCCCAAUUCCCUUGGAAUUCGAGGGUACAUGCUCUCAGCAUAUCUUCCAGUGUCUGAAUCGUUCUUUCGCUCUGACCAUCAGUUUGCGGAUGGUAAGCAGUACUCAAACACAACUUUGUACCUAACUCCUCUUGUAGACUCCUCCAAAACCUUGACGUGAAACGACUAUCACGAUCUGAUACAAUCGUAAGAGGAACACCGUGAAGUCUUACAAUUUCCUUCACGUAAGCAUUUGCGAGCUUAUCCAUAGACCACUUCUCGUUGGCUGCUAUGAAGUGUGCACUCUUGGUGAAACGAUCCACGACUACCCAAAUCAUGUCGUGACCGUUCUUCGUCCUGGGCAGUUUAGUCACAAAAUCCAUGGUGAUGUCUUCCCAUUUACCCAUGGGUACAGGUAAAGGUUCUAAACUCCCAUACGGUUUCUGAUGUUGUGCCUUAACCCUCGCACAUGUUACGCACUCGGCCACAUACUUCGCAACAUCGAGCUUCAUCGUCGGCCACCAGUAGUAGGGUUUUAGGUCCCUAUACAUUUUAGUGCUACCGGGAUGAAUCGAGUACAUGGUCUUGUGUGCUUCUUCCAUCAGAAGAUCUCUUAUUCCUCCCGUCUUAGGUACCCAAAUUCGAUCUUGGAAUACCUUCAGUCCUCGACUGUUUGUACCGAACACUAACGUUCUUCCCAAACGUUCUUCCUUUCGGUCAUUUUUCUCUAAAGCUUCUUCUUGAGCUUUCCUGAUACUUUCCACAAUCGUCGAGACGACUUCAAUUCUUAACGCUCUUGGCCUUUUCCUUUCCAGAUUGACUUUCCGACUGAGAGCAUCAGCAACAAUAUUUGCUUUACCUGGGUGGUAAAGUAUCUCACAGUCGUAGUCCUUGAGAAGUUCUAGCCAGCGUCGUUGCCUCAUGUUCAACUCCUUCUGAUUAAAGAGAUACUGGAGACUCUUAUGAUCAGUGAAGAGCUUGCACUUCGUGCCGUAGAGGUAAUGCCUCCAUAUCUUUAAGGCAAAAACUACCGCUGCCAACUCCAGAUCAUGAGUGGGGUAGUUCUUUUCGUGCUCUUUCAAUUGUCGAGAUGCGUAUGCUAUCACCUUUUCUCUUUGGGUCAGAACACAACCCAACCCGACUCCAGAAGCGUCACUAUAAACCGCGAAAUCUUCGACUCCAUCGGGUAGAGAAAGUAUCGGUGCUUCACAUAACUUCUUCUUUAGCUUCUCGAAUGCCUCAUCGUGUUUCUCACUCCACGUAUACGUAGCUCCUUUAUGAGUCAAAGCUGUUAAUGGAGCAGCUAUCGAAGAAAAGCCUUGGAUAAAUCGUCGAUAAUAUCCGGCUAAUCCUAGAAAGCUUCGAAUCUCCGUGGGACUCUUUGGACGUUCCCACUUCAUUACAGCCUCGAUCUUUGCGGGGUCAACCAUUAUUCCCUCCUGGUUAACAACAUGACCCAAGAAUUGGACUUCCCGUAUCCAAAAGUCGCAUUUGGAGAACUUUGCAAAAAGCUUCUCCUUCUUCAACACUUCUAAUACUUCCCGUAGAUGCUUGCCAUGCUCCUCUUGGCUUUUCGAGUAGAUGAGAAUGUCGUCGAUGAACACUAUCACGGAUUUAUCGAGGAAUGGUUUACAAACCCUAUUCAUCAAAUCCAUGAAUGCUGCGGGAGCAUUGGUUAGCCCGAAUGACAUAACCAAGAACUCGUAGUGUCCAUAUCUCGUUCUGAAUGCAGUCUUCUCAAUAUCCUGCUUUCUCACCUUUAGCUGAUGAUAUCCUGACCUAAGAUCGAUCUUUGAGAAGUAGCUCGAACCUUGCAGCUGAUCGAAUAGGUCGUAAAUCCUCGGAAAUAGAUACUUGUUCUUCACCAUUGCCUUGUUCUUGGUAGUCUAUACACAUUCUCAUGCUUCCGUCCUUCUUCUUCACGAAUAACACCGGAGCUCCCCAGGGUGAUGAACUAGGUCGAAUAAAACCGUUGUCCAACAGCUCCUGAAGUUGCGUCAUGAGCUCCUUCAUCUCCGUCGGUGCUAAUCGGUAAGGUGCCUUUGCUAUCGGUGUUGUUCCUGGUAACAAGUCUAUACGAAACUCCACUUGCCUAUCAGGUGGUAAUCCGGGAAGAUCUUCGGGAAAGACUUCCGGAUAAUCACACACAACCGGUAUAUUCUGCACCUCUUUCUUCUCCUUCUUAGCAUCGAUUACAAAUGCCAAGUACGAUGCACAUCCCUUGGAUAAACAUUUCCUGGCUUUCAUCAGGGAGAUGAUUCCAGAAUUCACUAUGUGUUUGUCCCCAUACACCAUAAAUGAUUCCUUUCCGGGUGGGUCACCCUUACUAUCUUCUUUCGGCAUUAAAUCUCAGCAUCGUUGGCGCUAAGCCAAUCCAUACCCAAAAUGAUGUCGAAACCGUUUCACUCUAUGGGUAAUAGCUCUUCGUGGAAUUCAUUUCCGUUUAGAUCGAUGACGAUGUUCCUAAUACGAUUACUAACAGGUACGAAUUUGCCACUGGCAACUUCUACAAUCAGGGCAUUAUCUAGUUUUUCUACAGGCAAUGCUAAUUUCCCACCAAAUUUAUGCGACACAAAGGAGUAGUUGGCUCCGGAAUCAAAUAGUAUAUUUGCAGGCAAACCAUUUACAAGAAAGGUACCUGAAGCGACGUCUGCUGCCUCCUUUGCAGCCUCGAGCGUCAUCUGGAAGGCUCUCGCCUUCGGCUUCGGUGGUAUGUUGGGUCUUCCUGUCUCCUUCUUCUUCGGGCAGUCCUUCAAAAUGUGCCCUUCUUCAUUGCACCCAUAACAGGCUUUCUGGUUGAGGGUGCAUUCAUUGGCGUAGUGCCCAGGCUUUCCGCACUUGUAACAAGUGACCCCUCCGUCACACUUCCCAGAGUGCUUCUUCUUGCACUUGUCACACCACUUCGCUUCUGAUCCUCCUCCCCUCGAACCAGACUUCGAGAAUCUACUCUUCUUGUUGGACUUCGAGGAUCCAUUGAACUUCCGUUUCUCACCAACCUCAGCCCUCUCCAGACCUCUUUCCUUUUGUUGGGUCUCCACGUUCUUAGCUGCUCGAACAGCUGAUUUCAGAGUGGUUGCCAUCUUGACUGUUGGGCCAAAGUCAGCCGGCAGUCCGUUUGCGAAUUUCUCAAUUUUGGAAAGUUCGGUUGGCACUAGGUAUGGAAACAACUUCAUCUUUUCCGUAAAUGCAGCAGCAUAGUCAUCGAUGCUCAUUCUCCCCUUCUUCAAAUUUUGGAACUCAUUGUUCAGAUCAAUCAGGUCUAUCUCUGAACAGUACUGCGCCUUCAGUUGUUCCAAGAACUCAUCCCAUGACAUUUUCAGAGCUUCUCCCCGUGGCAUUGUAUCUGCCAAUAGCUUCCACCAGCUCAAGACUCCAGUUUUCAAUUGUCUCACAGCGAAGACAGUCUUCUGCUUCUCGCUGCAGUCGCAGCUCUCAAACACCAUCUCCAUCUCGGAGAUCCAGUCCAUAAUCUCAACAGGCUUUGGGCUUCCUGAGAGACUUGGUGGUUUCGCACCCAAGAAAUUUUUGUACAUCCGCCCAUCCUUGUUGUUUCUCCCUUCUGGGCCAUCCUUUUGCUCACCUUGAGUCCCUACUUGACUCACUUGGCGGCUAUAGUUCCCUUCCUCAGAUGGCUCGGGAACUGGCUCCGUCGGUUCAACAUGUAUGGUAGGUUCGUCCCUAUUUUCGUGGAGCAUCCGUCUCAUUUCUUCCCUUUGUUCAGCUAGCAUAGCCUGAAUCAAGGCUUGAACUCUAGCCAUGGUGACUGGCUCAGGUGCAACUUCUUCAACAACAGGUAUUUGCUGAACCACUGGGGGUUGGUUCCUAUCUCCAUUUGCGUUCACGUUUCCGCUACGGGUCCUUGCCAUCUUGAUCUAUACACCGAAUAAGGUGAAUUUAGAUCUUUAUUUAGGAUAGACGUUUAAAUCGUCCUUAUCACUCCGAAACGUUUACAUGCUAGUUCUAAUAUCGUAGUCGUACGUUUAGAAUCCUAAACACAUAAGGUUUCCAGAUCCGGUCGGCAACAGACCAUAGAUCCGAACAAAUAAUAGCAUAUCAGGCACAAAGCAUUUAGCACAUAAAGCAUUUUAGGCAUAAUUCCUAAAAUAAUCUAGUGCUCACACCUCACAAUCAUCGCUUAGCAUUCUAAGUUUAAGUCUAGAAAUAAAUCCAUAUUCCUAGUUCGCUUAAACUAAUGCUCUGAUACCAACUGUGACAUCCCCAAAAUCACGGCCAGAAAAGACCGGUUUGUUUAUGCUUUGUUUAAAAAUCAGAGUUACAUUUUAAAUGAAAGUGUUGCGGAAUUUGUCCCAAAACAAAAUAUGAUAAAGAUUUAUCAAAAGCAUUUCCAUAGAAAUGUAUUUCAUUAAAAGACUUGGGAUGUCAUGUUCGUACAGAUCAAAAGCAUAAACAGUACAAUAUAAGCCUUACUACAUUAUUUCAUAUCUACAGGCCUAUAUCCGAUUAAUCUCUCAUCCCAAGACAUCACAUCUAUGCUCAUGCGCCACUACCUGUAAUACAAGAAACUGAGUGGGUCAGGCUUGGGAGCCUGGUGAGCACAUAGGGUUUUCAACCCACAAUAAAUAAGUUUAUUAACUUCAUUAAAUUAAACAAACCCGAUUACCCGUUCCCGUUAUCCUCACAUUACGUCCCUAAGCAUCUAUCAUAAGGGACCUAUCCUAAGGAUUAUCAUCGGGACGGACACUACUGCUAAGGGGAUUCCUCAGCAAUAAAUGUCCUUAAGGCAACCAUGUGGGGGAUGGAGUACAUCUGGUGAGCACACAGUUCAAAUAAACACACAGUUCGAAUAAACACCUACAGGUUGCGAGCCUGCUAGUGUUCCACUGGACUGUCUAGAAUAGUCCGUGGUCGUCAUCUAUACUCCGCUAGAUGACUGAUUCAUCAAUAACAUCUAUAACGAGGCCUCUCAUUAUUUUAUUUCGUCACGCACCAACUAUUACAUCUACCCAUUUUUUACCCAACACAUUUUGUAGAUAUAAAAUACAUAUACAGUUUAAAUCAUUGAAAACAUGUAUAACAAUGUUCAUCCAGCAUAGAUAGCAAGUAUUCAGAUAAUAUGCACACAUAGCACGUAAUUUAUAUAAAAUACUUCAUAUCUAUGUGUAAGCUGAAAGUAACUAUGCACUCACCUGAGUAGGUGGUGACUCGGCGCUUGGAUAGCACUUUGUUACUCUUAACACACUUUUCCUUUGGCAAAACCUAGUAUCAUUGCCACUAGGGUUUAGUCUAACGAUAACCGCGAUUAAUUAAUAGUCUAGCUAUUAUUAUUAUUAUAUAAGCUUUAAACGAUACUUAUAUAACCCAUAAUAAUAGCCCAAGUACUUAUUAUAAGGUCCUAAUAACAUUACUAUAUUAAAACGUAAGCUAAACUAAAGAUAGGUUAGGCGUAGCUCACUUACAGCGGGUUUUCUCGAAAACCGGGCUUCGCUGGAGCAGCGUUCCCGAGUCGAAAGACCCCUUUUCUUGGGACUCCGGGAGCCUCGGGGCUUCCUUCGGGUGCUAGGGGGUUUUCCUAGACUUUAGGGGGCUUAAGGAGGCUUAGAGAGAGAUUCUAGAGAGAGAAAGAGAAGUUGGAAAGUGUGAGAAAUGAGGAUACCCCGACACCCUUUUUAAAGGCUGGAAAUCACCAAAACUCAUUGAUUUUACCUCAAACUCGUCGACUUUUAUGGCCAGGUGUCACCAUCUGGUGGCUAGCCUUGGGGAGGAAGCAACGGCCAGGAUUGCGCCACGUCACCCGAUUUCGCACAGCAGCCUCCCGACUUAGAAAUAUCAUAACACUCGCAUACGAGCUCCGUUUUUGACGUUUUUUUUCCACGCGUAGGUAAAAACAAGAUCUACAACUUUCAUUUAGACUCCGUCGGCUAAUUCUUGACCGAUCUUAAAUUUAACAGUAGGAGGAGAUUAGACUGCUAAAUGACCGCGAAGAAUUCGUAACUCCUUCAUACGGACUCCGUUUUCGUCUGUCUUUUUACCGUUGAGUUCCUAUUAAUGAGAUCUUCAACUCUCAUUUAGGUCGCGUAAGCCAAAAACCGCUCGAACUAAAAUUCGAAUUUCGGGCUGUACACCGCUAAUCCGAAACUUCGAAAAAUCAUAACUUCUUCAUACGCAAUCAGAUUUGGGAGUUCUUUUUAUUGAUGUUCUUAGUUUAACAUACUCUACGAUUUUCAUUAAUAUCUUUAAGGCUAAAACUCGCUCUAUCGUAAAUUCACUAUUUACGUUUCCCGGUGCC
rnacentral:lncRNA from 1 species